ACUACUUUUACACUAACCAAAAUUGAAAAUAGAAUACAUAGGCGAUCUAGAUUUUGCAGGAAAUAAGGCGAGUUGUAUAUUCGGUUGUUUCAGGAAUAGAAAAAAAAAGAUGAAGUUAUCCUUAAUAAAAACGCAAAUCAAGAAUAAACAUGUUGUGGAGGCAUAUGAAAGACUGGAGUCCAGCGGAAACUUGAAACAGUUAAUUUUUUCCACCCUAUCAGAAUUUGGAAAUUUAAAACACUACUCUGCGUUCAUCAACGAAGACAAUGUAUUACAAGGCGUAUCGAACCUAAUGAAUAUGGUUAAGAAACUUAAUAAUCAAAGUGAAAGGUUCCACGGCCAUGUAGUUGUACGAGAACUUGACACGCUGUUGAAUUCUUGCUUUCAAUUUUGGAUUAAAGAGCCAGUGGAAACGCCACAUUCGGUUCAAAAGGAGGCAACAUUACCCAUAACUCCUGUUGAUUCAGAGGCCAGAGAACAAAAUGAUGGUGUCGACUGCAGCUUUAAUGAUACAUGUACCUCCCAGUUCUUUCCUUCAAGAAUUAGAAACAGUUAUGUCUUGGAAACAUUUCGCCUGAAGAAAGGAGAUGCCCUGAAAACCCAUGAAUAUUUGUGUAAAUGGGCAGGCUUAUCGCCUGAAAAAGUCCAUAUGAUUAACUUUACAAAAGCCAUGAAGAAUGUUGUCCGAAAAGCAGAUGAAUUGAAAGACAGAGAUGUUGCACAGCUUAAUUCUUUCUUGAAGGAAUUUUUCAAAUUUCCAUUAGUGGCGGAGACGAAAGGCCAGGAAGAGCAAAUAUUGACAGAUUCUUUGAUAAAAACUCGGAUUAAGAAUAAAUAUGUUAUGGAGGCAUAUGAACGAUUGAAGGCAAGGGAAAAUUUGAAACAGUUGAUAUAUUCAAGUCUAUCCGAUUUGGGAAAUUUUGCGCAUUACUCUGAAUUCAUCGAUGAAGACAAUGUAUUUCAAGGUGUAAUGAACAUGAUGGAAAUGGUUAAAAAACUACAGGGCCAAAAGUCAAGGUCCAAAAGAGUUUACAAGAGUUUACAAGAGCUUGACAUAUUUAUGAAUUCAAACUUUCAAUUUUGGAUCAGGAAACCUGUAGAAAGAGAGACUGCAAUGUGUGAAGGCAUAGUUGAAAAUGAUACAUUUUCUGAAAAUUUACUAGUGAUAAAUGAAGAUACAAGUGAGAUGUCAAUGGUUUCUUCAAAUCGAGUAGAGAAUUAUUGUAAACCAAGUGACAACCAUGUCGGAACUAAAGCAAAGACUAAACGGCAAAUGUAAAGCUAAACAUGACCCAGCGAUGUUCCACUACUCAAAUAUCAGAAUAGGUCAUGUAAUAGAAACAUUUCGAUUGAAAAAAGAUGAUGGCUUGAAAACCCACGACUGUUUGUGUAAGUGGGAAGGUAUAGCUCCCGAAAAGGUUCACGUCCAGGACUUCAUUGAAAAUGUAAACAACAUUGUAAGAAAAGCUGAUGCAUUAAAAAGGACGGACAUUGCGCUGUAUAAGUCUUUCAUGAAGGAGUUUUUCAAAUUCCCCCUCCUAGAGACGUUAGAAAGCGACAGGGUGCCACGGAAAGGAAGAAAGUCGAAGUGCAAGAAAACUGAAAGAAGAACAUUUAGAGAAGAAAUCGGAGGAUUCUCCAAAUAAAUCGGACGGAGACACUGAUAAAAGGACUAGAGAAGGGGGCGAGAAUGAAACAACACAUGAAGAAAAUGGACCUUCAGAAAAUGAUGAACGAAAGGGGAAGAAAAGAACUAAACAAAAUACGAAUGAGACAACACAUGAAGAAAAUGGAACUUCAGAAAAUGAUGAACGAAAGGGGAAGAAAAGAACUAAACGAAAUACGAAUGAUGAUUCAGCUGUCAGUGAUGUGAUCGUGAAGCAAACGAUUACUAAACCCAAGCAUAGAACAAUGUUACAAAAGAAAAGAUCGAAACAAGCCAUGCUAGAACUGCAAUUGAAAAUGAAACUUCAAUACCAAACAAAACUAAAACAUCUGAUUAAAAGACAGAACAGUAUUAUAGUCAAACAAAGAAAACAAAUACUGGCGCUGAAACGGAGACGAACAAGGGCCCCAACCGAUAGUGUGAGCAAAGGGGUUCAAUGUAGCCUGAUUUCAGCUACACCAAAAACUGUCUUAGUGAGAGUGUUGAAAACUUAAAAGAUGCUGUGGCGUUGCUCAGUUUCAAUAUUAUAUAUAGAUAGGUAACAUAAAGUGAUUUGAAACGAAAUAUUUAUGUAUAAUACACCUAUGAACUUGAACGAUUUUUUUUACUAUUAUGUACAUACCAGUAGCUAUGUCGUUUAUUUAAUGUAUAUGAGCCUUUUUGAGGCUCUUUUUGAAUGCAAUUGAGGGCAGUGUAUUCUUGGCUGUGGUGAUGUAAUAUCUAUGAGAAUUUGCUGAUUAUAAUUUGAUAAUUAAAAACAAAUUUGUUGAAACGGACACGAAUUAUUCUUCUCUUGAAAUUGGAUUGCACAUAAUAAUAUCCGUUUAAUAAUAAAUAAAAAAUAAUAUUUUAAACCGGAUUUACUUUUAGCUUCAUUGCACGAAGAGUACAGAUUGUAACUGAGAUGCAAUACAGGUGUGUUCGCUUUCUUCUAUACGAAUUUUUAGAAACUAAUGAAGUUAAUGGCGUACCAAACGUUCCCCAAUUUUAGAUAUUUUUCAUAAAAGAUUAUCCGUUAUUUGUAUGCAUUUUAACCUGUUUAUGCCCAAAAGUUCAAGGUACCGCUAGGAUAUGUUUGAUGUUAGAAUAUUUUGGGAUUUUCCAUGUAUAAGAAUGCAAUGAAAUGCAAUUGAGUGCUUAUGAUUAAAGUCAUAGUAAAUAUG
rnacentral:misc_RNA from 1 species